rnacentral:RNase_P_RNA from 1 species
CGAGUCGGCCGGGUGAUCGCGGCCCCAACCGGGGCUGAGGAAAGUCCGGGCUCCACAGAGCAAGGUGGUGGGUAACGCCCACCCGGGGUGACCCGCGGGACAGUGCCACAGAAAACAGACCGCCCGGCAACGGGUAAGGGUGAAACGGCGGUGUAAGAGACCACCAGCAUCCCAGGUGACUGGGAUGGCUAGGUAAACCCCACCUGGAGCAAGACCAAGAAGGCCGGUUCUCCGGCUGCGGACGCCGUCAGAGUGCUGCUCGCACGAGGCGUCCGGGUAGGUUGCUUGAGCGACGCGGCAACGCGCCGCCUUAGAUAGAUGAUCACCGACCACAAGACCCGGCUUAUAGGCCGGCUCGUCCC